UGGGGAAUUUUGGACAAUGGGGGCAACCCUGAUCCAGCAAUGCCGCGUGUGUGAAGAAGGCCUUCGGGUUGUAAAGCACUUUUGUCCGGAAAGAAAACGCCGUGGUUAAUACCCGUGGCGGAUGACGGUACCGGAAGAAUAAGCACCGGCUAACUACGUGCCAGCAGCCGCGGUAAUACGUAGGGUGCAAGCGUUAAUCGGAAUUACUGGGCGUAAAGCGUGCGCAGGCGGUCCGCUAAGACAGAUGUGAAAUCCCCGGGCUUAACCUGGGAACUGCAUUUGUGACUGGCGGGCUAGAGUAUGGCAGAGGGGGGUAGAAUUCCACGUGUAGCAGUGAAAUGCGUAGAGAUGUGGAGGAAUACCGAUGGCGAAGGCAGCCCCUGGGCCAAUACUGACGCUCAUGCACGAAAGCGUGGGGAGCAACAGGAUUCAGAUACCCUGGUAGUCCACGCCCU
rnacentral:rRNA from 1 species